rnacentral:rRNA from 1 species
AUUGAACGCUGGCGGCAUGCCUUACACAUGCAAGUCGAACGGCAGUACGGGUGCUUGCACCUGGUGGCGAGUGGCGAACGGGUGAGUAAUACAUCGGAACGUACCUUAUCGUGGGGGAUAACGCAGCGAAAGCUGCGCUAAUACCGCAUACGCCCUGAGGGGGAAAGCGGGGGAUCGAAAGACCUCGCGCGAUUAGAGCGGCCGAUGCCUGAUUAGCUUGUUGGUGGGGUAAAAGCCCACCAAGGCGACGAUCAGUAGCUGGUCUGAGAGGACGAUCAGCCACACUGGGACUGAGAGACGGCCCAGACUCCUACGGGAGGCAGCAGUGGGGAAUUUUGGACAAUGGGGGCAACCCUGAUCCAGCAAUGCCGCGUGAGUGAAGAAGGCCUUCGGGUUGUAAAGCUCUUUUGUCAGGGAAGAAACACCGGCUCUAACACAGUCCGGGAAUGACGGUACCUGAAGAAUAAGCACCGGCUAACUACGUGCCAGCCGCCGCCGUAA